GACGAACGCUGGCGGCGUGCUUAACACAUGCAAGUCGAACGGAAAGGCCCUGCUUUUGUGGGGUGCUCGAGUGGCGAACGGGUGAGUAACACGUGAGUAACCUGCCCUUGACUUUGGGAUAACUUCAGGAAACUGGGGCUAAUACCGGAUAGGAGCUCCUGCUGCAUGGUGGGGGUUGGAAAGUUUCGGCGGUUGGGGAUGGACUCGCGGCUUAUCAGCUUGUUGGUGGGGUAGUGGCUUACCAAGGCUUUGACGGGUAGCCGGCCUGAGAGGGUGACCGGCCACAUUGGGACUGAGAGACGGCCCAGACGCCAACGGGAGGCAGCAGUCGGGAAUAUGGCACAAUGGGCGGAAGCCUGAUGCAGCAACGCCGCGUGCGGGAUGACGGCCUUCGGGUUGUAAACCGCUUUCGCCUGUGACGAAGCGUGAGUGACGGUAAUGGGUAAAGAAGCACCGGCUAACUACGUG
rnacentral:rRNA from 1 species